rnacentral:lncRNA from 1 species
UGCGUUGUUGUUCAAUGAACAAAGUGACAUCCAGAUUGCAUUUGUGAGAUCCAGUUGGUGGAGGGUGCCAUUUGGUACAGUAUGCGGCUGAUAUGCACACAAGAGUGGGAGGCGCAGAAGGUUCCAUUUGCCCCAAUCCAAGACUUCUUGUAAAUUAUCCCCAAGUAUCAUGGCCACCGGUGUACUACGCUCCGUCCAGACUCAAUUACUCCUUGCUCGCCAAAUACCCC